UCGAACGAUGAACCGGUUUCGGCCGGGGAUUAGUGGCGAACGGGUGAGUAACACGUGGGCAAUCUGCCCUGCACUCUGGGACAAGCCCUGGAAACGGGGUCUAAUACCGGAUACUGACCUUCACGGGCAUCCGUGGGGGUCGAAAGCUCCGGCGGUGCAGGAUGAGCCCGCGGCCUAUCAGCUUGUUGGUGAGGUAAUGGCUCACCAAGGCGACGACGGGUAGCCGGCCUGAGAGGGCGACCGGCCACACUGGGACUGAGACACGGCCCAGACUCCUACGGGAGGCAGCAGUGGGGAAUAUUGCACAAUGGGCGGAAGCCUGAUGCAGCGACGCCGCGUGAGGGAUGACGGCCUUCGGGUUGUAAACCUCUUUCAGCAGGGAAGAAGCGAAAGUGACGGUACCUGCAGAAGAAGCGCCGGCUAACUACGUGCCAGCAGCCGCGGUAAUACGUAGGGCGCAAGCGUUGUCCGGAAUUAUUGGGCGUAAAGAGCUCGUAGGCGGCUUGUCGCGUCGGUUGUGAAAGCCCGGGGCUUAACCCCGGGUCUGCAGUCGAUACGGGCAGGCUAGAGUUCGGUAGGGGAGAUCGGAAUUCCUGGUGUAGCGGUGAAAUGCGCAGAUAUCAGGAGGAACACCGGUGGCGAAGGCGGAUCUCUGGGCCGAUACUGACGCUGAGGAGCGAAAGCGUGGGGGAGCGAACAGGAUUAGAUACCCUGGUAGUCCACGCCGUUAACGGUGGGCAGUAGGUGUGGGCAACAUUUCCACGUUGUCCGUGCCGCA
rnacentral:rRNA from 1 species